rnacentral:lncRNA from 1 species
GAGAUUGGUAGUGAGAGACGUGCUUAAGGGACUGCUCAGUUUGAAGUAGAUUGGAGACAUUUUCUCAUGUUUCAGCCUCCUUGGACCAAGCAAAAUAAGCUGACCUUUGAAGAGAACAGAUCUUGAGGGGGAUCUGUAGAUGGACACAGGGAGAUUCCAGGUGCCUCAGAGGGAUCAACUUGCAGUUCCAAGUUGUCCUCAGGGAAAUCUUGCCAUUUUUUGGGAUAAUGAACUGAAUUCUCAUCACAGUGGAAUACGUAUCAUCGGAAGGGAUUUUUAAAGGGCAGGGUGAGAAGUGGAUUGAGAAUUUCGCAUAGCACCAAGGUUAAACAGAAGCCAACUACGAAACAAAGCCAGAAGGGCACUCAAGCAAAUAAUCAAAAUCAAAUCCUUACCACGCUGCCAGGGACCGAUAUAUCCAGAGCAUGGGACCAGGAGCUGGACUCACGGUGGGAUCUCUGAUCAGUCACAGAAGGAGCUUGACGAGCUCAUGGGGUCUCUCUCCCUAGGUGGAGAAGACAGGGCUCCAAAUGGACUUCCAGUCCCAUCCACGUCACAGAGGCAAAUUGUCAGAGACAAAGACCUAAGCCGGAGUAAAUGACCAUCGUGCGCCCAUGGGAAGAGUGCUGCAUCCACGGAGGACAUGGGCCAACAGUGCUCUCAAAUGGGUUUCAUGAAAGCAUCUGUGACUCAUCCCUGUUCAAGAAUGUUUUCAUUACGAUUCAGCAGAAGCGAUGUGCCAGGUCAGCAAAUACAACUGCAAAACCGGGGCCUGCCAGCCUGGCCAACACAGCAAGACCCCGUCUCUACUAAAAAGUAAAAUUAAAAUUAGCUGAGUAUGGUGG